rnacentral:lncRNA from 1 species
UCUCGUUCUUUGGAGUUAACUUUUUUUUAGUUUUUUGUGCCUUUGGGUAUAACAUGGUUGUAACAAGACGGAAUUCUGGUUAUGUCUGUUUGCGAGUUGUUUUUUUGGAAGGGAAGGAAGUGAAAGGGAAGGCUUUCCAGCCAUCUCACAUGUGUAUUUAAUGGUUUUGAAGUCUUCCAUUCCCAUUUUCCCCCUCCAAAAACCAACUCGCAAUGAACCUAAGUGUUAGUUUGGGAGUUGGAUUUUGGAGGGGAUGGAAGGGAAAGGGAAGGCUUGGAAGCCAUGAAAUACACUUGUGAGAUGACUCCCAAGCCUUCCUUUUUCCUUCAUUCCCCUCCAAAAUUCAACUCCCAAACAAACCCUAAAGGUUUUAUUUUAUAGUGACUUAGUUCACAGUGAAAUACUUGUGUAGAUUAUCUUACAAAAAAAUGAGAAUUGAAAAUUCAUCUAUUCCCUUUGAGCUCAUUAACUUGUUGUUAGAUGAUGCAAAGGGAAUUUCUUAUCUUAGAC